AUGGAUGAGUACAUGAUUGACAGUGAAGAUGGCAUGCUGCCAGUAAGAGUACUCAACAAUUGGGCACUAUAUAAUUCAGAUUCCAGAUUCAUGUCUUUGGGGCUCAUCCCUGUUAAACCAGGUGUUGUAAAUGAUACUGUCAUCUUUGGGUCUAGUUGUAUGAGAGACGAUGAUGGUACUUUCUGUUCAACAGCUGAGCCAGCGGAGUUAUCUUCUUCCUCGAGUAAAUCUGACCAGGAAGAUCAAGGGAUUCCAAUUUAUCUAAGUCCAAUCAAGUAA
rnacentral:rRNA from 1 species